ensembl:lncRNA
CUUCGCCCACAAUCAGGGAGCCAGUUCAUUCUGUCGCGAUAUCUUCAUCCACACCACACAAAACAUUACUCUGGUGUGUUGACUGCCCUCAUUUAAUCUAGUUGUUUUAAGAACAGUAUUAAUAUUUUUUUGCGUAUCGUAAGCUACUAGAAAAAUGCAUUCCGGGGCAUUGGAAAGAGCUGGGUCACCGAGGAAAAGGACGCUUUCUCGGGGAGUGAGCGAGGAUGAGUCACUUCGCAACAUUAUCAAGGAGGUGAGCGUCGAGAAAUCACGUCGUCUUUGUUUAAUACGACAUUUACAUGAGGCAUAUAGUCUAUUUUCUCAAUUAUCUCUUUUUAUUGAGUAAUUUGAGAUUGUAGCAUAUCCUACUAACAUUUAAAUUUAGCCAAUUGAAGCUUAGCCUUGGCAACAUUACUAGUGGUUACAGUCGAAGAUUCAUCCUCUUACAGUAAGCCACUGCCUGUUUAUAUUUCUAGGCGUUUGUUUACUUUGUGGUUUUUAACCCUACUGCUCAUUUUCAUUUCGACUCUCAUCCCAGUGUUACUGUAGCAUAUGGUGUUAAAUUGAAUACGGCUACGUGCACACAUAAUGUGAUUAUUGUGGAUUGUCCGAUACAUAUAAUAGUUCAAUUAAAACGUUUAUAAACGAUAAAUAUGGUUUGCAAGAAGAAUAAUUUUCCUCAUAAUCCUGUUUAGUCUACAUGGACUCAUCUGAAAUCAGGCUACCUUAUGGCACAUUGAUAAAUGCAGACUAGGUCGGUGUACCGGGGCUCGAAAUGCGGUAGUCCGGCCCUGAUUGUAACCAAACUAUGGACAUCUGAAUAGCCUUAUGUUUAGCUUGCUACUAAACGACGGAGAAAAAUGGUUUAUUCUCCUAAUCUCUUUCUAGUGUCUACCCCAUUAGGGCACAAGUAAAAAACAAGUAUGGCUGCUUUCUUACAGCGUGCCUAGAAUAGGGACGACACAUUGCAUGACUAAUGUAGUUAGAAUUCAGUCAUCAGUAGUUCAUCAUACGUUUCUUUAAUUAUUUUCUUAUUGGUAGACCUAUGGUCCAUAAGAACUGGACCUAGAGGUUUGCCUAAAAUCCAUGUUUCUAUCCAUAUGCUGUAUGAAUAUAAAUUAUGUGUUGACAUGUAGCCUAGGCAAUUAAACAGUAGCAAUAGCCCACUCAUUUGAUAGAGCAUCAUUCAUGAAUCCAUCUGUAAAACAAUCCUCCCGCAUCAUUAUCUAGCCUUAACCCUAAAUAUAUGUAACUAUGUGAUAACAUGUAGGCUAAUUUUCAAUAGCGGGACACUCAUUCGAUUGAACAUCACUGGAGACCUCAUACCUAUCUGUAAAAUAAGCAUCCGGCAUCAUAUAGCCUGCUCUUCACUUUGUUUAAAAGGCUUGGGGAUGGUAUAGAUUUUGAUGGAUCUGCUAAAUCAUCUUAACAUAUACCAGCUGACUAUUGGAUGUAAACAGUUAUUGCUUUUGUAAACAUAUACAAUCCCGAAAUCAGCUGUAACUGUCAAUAUUGAAACGAUUUGAGUGAACCCUGAUAAAGAAACAAAUGUAUGGUGAAAUUGCGUCCAUACUCGGUAGACUCCUCUUCACCACUCUAUAAUAUCGAUUCACGCUCCUCAAAUAUGAUUAAUUCGUUUGUCUCUAGCUCCUGAUAUCAGUGAAUAAAGUCUCCUAAAUUAGCCUAGUGUACUAGGGCGGAGCUCGUUUUCCCUGGCUAAACAAGCUGGCUAGCUGAACUAUGCUAGUUUGUCCUUAUUUCCAAACUUCAUAAAUACUGCAGCCUCAACGUCUAAACAACUUUGCUAGUUAUACAAUCAUGUUACUAAGAAACGUGAAAAUUAUAUCUCAUUUUAUUUUGUUGAAUAGUCAUGAUUGGUUCGAGAUAUUUGGCAUAUGACGACGGUGGCGAAGGAUAUCUGCUAGCUAACGCGGAUCGAAGUUCAGUUUUGAGAUCAAUUAGUGUAAAUUACCGGACGUUUAAGACUGGUCUUGGAACUGUGACAACAGGCAUCUUCUCCCCGCUUGGCUCGACUGGAUAUCUAGUGAUUUUGCCAACACAGCCAGAUAUGUACACAGUCUUGUACCCUUAACCUUUUUAAACUGACUACCGUAUUUGGUGAUUAAUUCAGACAUUGUUAGUAUAAUGAGCAAUGCAGGAAUGUCACAAUUUAACUGUCACGAGAAAAUAGCAACUCUACAGAGCGCCAAUGGCUACAAUGAUUGACUAUUUUACUUCCUGGCACGAAGGGUCGUCGGAGCUUCUCCUCGCCACUCUAUUAUGGCUCUGCCUGAGAUGUAUUUUUGUUCCUUUGUCAGACGGAGAGUUCGACCAGGCGUCUGACGCACAGUGACAGCAGAGGGGGGACCCUCAAGAGGAGAAGUGGGAGUCAGGUAUAAUAAGUGUAAUGGAUGAAGGGCAAUUCCAUGCUAACAGAAUGAUGCAGAGGCUCAAGUUUUCACAUUUAGAUGUAUGCCAAAGAAAAACCAUUGAUUGCAAAGUUAAACAAACCGUACAAAUCUAUACAAAAGGAGUACACUGAACAUAAAUAUAAACUCAACAUGUCAAGUGUUUGAUUCAUGAGCUGAAAUAAAAGAUCCCAGAAAUAUUCCAUGUGCACAAAAUGCUUAUUUCUCAGAAAUUGUGUGCACAAAUUUGAUUACAUCCCUGUUAGUGAGCAUUUCUCCUUUGCAAAGAUAAUCCAUCCACCAGACAGAUGUGGCAUAUCAAGAAGCUGAUUUAACAGCAUGCUCAUUACACAGGUGCACCUUGUGCUGGGAACAAUAGAAGGCCGCUCUAAAAUGUGCAGUUUUGUCACACAACACAAUGCCACAGAUGUCUCAAGUUUUGAGGGAGCGUGCAAUUGGCAUACUGAUUGAAGGAAUGCCCAUCAGUUGUUGAUCAACUUUGCUAGAUAAUUGAAUGUUCAUUUCUCAACCAUAAGCCCCCUCCAACGUUGUUUUAGACAUUUUGUCAGUACGUUCAACCAGCCUCACAACCGCAGACCACAUGUAUAGCGUUGUGUGGGUGAGUGGUUUUCUGAUGUCAAUGUUGAACAGAGUGCCCCAUGGUGAAGUUGUGGUUAUGGUAUGGGCAGGCAUAAGCUACCGACAACAAACACAAUUGUAUUUUAUCGAUUGUAAUACCGUGACGAGAUCCUGAGGUCCAUUGUCAUGCCAUUCAUCCCCCAUCAUCCCCUCAUGUUUCAGCAUGAUCAUGCACAGCCCCAUUUCACUGUAUACCUGUUGUAUUCGGAGCACGUGACAAAUCAACUUUGAUUUGAUGUCGCAAGGAUCUGUACAUGUCCCAGUUCUUCCAUGGCCUGCAUACUCAUAAGACAUGUCACCCAUUGAGCAUGUUUGGGAUGCUCUGGAUCGACGUGUACAACAGCGUGGACCAGUUCCCACAAAUAUCCGGCAACUUCGCACAGACCUUGAAGAGGAGUGGGAUAACAUUCCACAGGCCACAAUCAACAGCCUGAUGAACUCUAUGCGAAGGAGAUGUGUUGCGCUGCAUGAGGCAAAUAGUGGUCACACCAGAUACUGAGGGGUUUUCUGAUCCAUGCCCCUACCUUUUAAAGCUAUAUGUGACCAACUGAUGCAUAUCUGUAUUCUCAGUCAUGUGAAAUCCAUUACAUUAGGGUCUAAUUAAUUUAUUUUCAAUUGACUGAUUUGGCAUGGGUUCUCAGAUCCUCAAACAGUUCUACAGCUGCACCAUCAAGAGCAUCCUAACUGGUUGCAUCACUGCCUGGUAUGGCAACUGCUCGGCCCAGUACACCAAUGGGGCCAAGCUUCCUGCCAUCCAGGACCUCUAUACCAGGCAGUGUCAGAGGAAGGCCCUAAAAAUUGUCAAAGACUCCAGCCACCCUAGUCAUAGACUGUUCUCUCUGCUACUGCAUGGCAAGUGGUACCGGAGCCAAGUCUAGGUCCAAGAGGCUUCUUAACAUUUUCUUCCCCCAAGCCAUAAGACUAAUUUCAACUACUUCUCAACGUCCAUGGACCGGUGUCGGUCGGUGCUCAUUGGGUGAGUUCGCUGGUUACAGUAAAUUGAAAGAGAGGGGCCUCAUGGGUAGGUGUCAGUGAGAGGUGACAUUAACAGGAGAGUAGUGGUGCCUGGAGAAUUUAAUUAACAUUUUUUAAAUGUAACCUUUUAUUUCACUAGGUAAGUCAGUUAAGAACAAAUUCUUAUUUACAAUGAUGGCCUACCCCGGCCAAACCUGGACGAUGCUGGGCCAAUUGUGCGCCGUCCUAUGGGACUCCCAAUCACGGCCGGAUGUGAUACAGCCUGGAACCGAACCAGUGAAUGUAGUGACGUCUCUUGCGCCGAGAUACAGUGCCUUAGAACACUGGGUAGCUUUCAUUUGACACUAAAUUUGAUGUGCUCCUAUGAACUUCUCUGGAUAACUUCACUUCAUGGAUCCUUUUACAUGGAAAUGGCCUGAAGUUACUGGCAUAAUUAGGUUUGCGGCCCAAAUGCCACCCUAUUCCCCAUAGGGCUCUGGUCAAAAGUAGUGCACUAUAUAGGGAAUAGGGUGCCAUUUCGGACACUGGCCUACUAUGGUCUGUCAUUUAAACAUGAUUACUUCUGAUUCUAUCACUGUUAUUAAAUGUACGGAGUAUACUCAAACUUCUCAUAUAUUACUUGUUGAUGAGUCUUGUUUACCUUUUUCUUGGUCAUUUCAGCAGUCUGUGGAAGAUCAGGAACUGAUGGAACUCCCUGAGAUGAAUGACCUGCAGGCAAGCUACGACGAUGUGUUGCAGGAGCUGCGUGGGCUGGAGCUGCAGCGGGAGACUCUGUUGUUCCAGGUGGACGUUCUGCAGGACGCCCUGGAGGGGGCCGAGGAGAUGCUGGCUGAGGCCCAGAGAGAGGCCAGCCACGCCACCAUGGAGGUGGAGCGAGAGAGAGAGGCGAAGAGGAAGUUGGAGGACAUUGUCAGUUCUCUGAUGCAGGAGGUGGAGAGGCUAAAAGAGGAGAGGAACACCAUAUCAGCAGUCCCAGUGUACACACUUGUCAAGGAGCAGGAGAGGGAAGAUGAGAUGGCUAGACAACAAGCCACAGAGAUGCAAAUCAAAAAGGGAGCACAGGAACAAAUCAGGGAUGCACCAAGGUAUGAGGACAAUUCUCGCCAAGAUGCACCUCUCUCUAUUAUCCGAUUGGACAGUGAGGGCCCCGGGCCCAACAAUGGGCUAUCAUCUGAGACCAGCACUGGGGGGCUGCUCGCUUCCUUCUUCAAAAAGGGGAGGGGGGAGCAGCCUUCUGACAGUCUGACCCAGCCCUCUCCUAUCCACGUUGCCCAGCUGGUGUCCUCUGAGGACGUAGCAGAUGGGGCACAGGACAGCUUCACCAAGUUCACAAAGAUAGUCAACAAGACCUUUGGGCCGUUGUCACUCGGUAGCCAGACCCCCGGGAGAAAUCAGGAGGAGAACGGGCGUGACCUCUCCCCCGACAGGAACAAUGACACAGACAGCAUCAGCGCCUAUGAAGAUGCCUGCGCUGACAUGCCCGAGCUGGAAGAGGGUGACGGGCCAAGGCUGCCCCAUGAUGAAGGCUCCCCAGUAGAUGAUGAGGGAGAUCUGUCAAAUGGCAACGAACCCAAGAGCAUCAAAAACCCCAAUGAAUCUUGCAUUCUGUCGUAAGAGCUGCAGAACUGUUGUGCUACGAAGGAUCAAAUCUUCUCUGAGAUCACUGCUCUCGCUCCGUCCGCCUCUUGAUAAUGUAUGCCAUUUAGCAGACGCUUUUAUCCGAAGAGACUUACAUGCAUCCAUUUUUUUAUUAUGUCUUAUGUUCUUGGGCCUGUACUCUCCAGUUACACAUAUAGAAGGGUAGAGUCAAUCUUGGGAGUUGUUGCCAGGCAGUGUGGAAUUCCAGUCAUGUCUACAGACUACUCUAAAGCCAAUCUCUCUCCCUCCGCAUUGUUUGGCACGACCUGCAAGGUUGCACUUACACCCCCCCCCCCUGCUGUUCGGCACAAAAGGCAAAUGACCUCUCUGUUUCUUAGUGACUGAUAAUCACACAAGACUGUUUGCGUACACUGAACUAUCAGAUAUAUCAGACCUCUUGCAUUCUAAACGGGCAAACUAUGUGAUUCGUAGAUUAAGACGAUUAUAGUUGUUUUUAUGCUCUUAAGUUUAGACGCUGGCAAGAUUGUAAUCACAAUAGCAGGCAGCCAAGGAGCUAGCUACUAUAUAUUUGAAUAAUUCCAUUUAUGGGUAUAAAACCAUAAUGUUUUCACUGUCUCACUGGCCUUCACAGGGACAUUUCAUUUGAUCUUCAAGAAGGAUUUGGUGCCUUUCCUGGCUCACCUUAAUGCAUUUUAUGAAUAUGGAAUAUUAACUUGAAAGAUGUAAUACAUUUACUGAAUUUAAUCUAGCUUUAGUACGAUACUAGCAUGAUUGAAAAAGUAACGACAUUCCAUUUAAUAGUAAAACUUUAAGGAUACCUGAUAAUGUAUAUGUACAGUAACAGUACUGCAUGCUACUUGUCAGGUCAUGUUUGCACAGUCGCAGUGAAACUACUGAAUUGGUAGACCUUACAUGUUAUUUUGUAUCUGGCAUUGCUGGACAAUGUACCCUUUGUUUUUCUUCUCUCUACCCAUAACAUUAACAUAAAAUCUGAGGAUAAUCUUUUGACUUGGAAAGAGUUACAUAAACAUUGCUACCUAUUAAUCUUUUUAGGAGAUUUUUUCAUAGUCCCAAAAGGCACCUUAUUCCCUUUUUAGUGCAUUACUUUUGACCAGGGCAAUAUAAAGGGAAUAGGGUGUAAUUUGGGACGCAUACUUUAUCAACAUUCCUGUCCAUGUUUGACACUAGCGAGGUCAAAUGAAAUUGAUCUGUUUUCCAAUCCUUACCUUGUUGAACAUUUUCAACAGAUACUGCGUUUGUAAUGAACUUGGGGGCAAAUCUUACAAUGCCUUCAACACUAGGUUUUGUGUGUUAGACUUUGUGUAUCUCAAGUCAGAAUGCAGCUCUUGGUAGUAGGGGUUAAAUGGAUGUCAAGUUCGAAAGCACACUGAAACACACUGAAAUAAUUCCUAACUUUGAUACUUGUGAUGUGUUUUCUAUUCUGUUUCUAUUGCCUGAAUUUCUGUUUCUGCGGGAGAUAGUCUUCAGAAAGUAUUCACACACCUUGACCAUUUCCACAUUUGUUGUUACAAAGUGGAAUGGAUUUAAUUGUCAUUUAUAUUAACGGUCUAUACAAAAUACUCUGUCAAAGUGGCAAAAAAAAUCAAAUAACAUUGUAUUACUGGAAAAUAAAACACUAAAAUAUCUAAUUUGCAUAAGUAUUCAACCCCCUGAGUCAAUACAUGUUAGAAUGUUAGAAUCACCUUUUGGCAGCAAUUACACCUGUGAGUUUCUGGGUAAGCUUCUAAGAGAUUUGCACACCUGGAUUGUACAAUAUUUGCACAUUAUUCUUUUAAAAAAUUCUUCAAACUCUGUCAAGUUGGUUAUUGAUCAUUGCUGUACAGCCAUUUGAGUCUUGCCAUAGACUUUCAAGACGAUUUAAGUCAAAACUGUAACAAAGCCACUCAGGAACAUUCAAUGUUGUUUUGGUAAGCAACUCCCAUGUAUAUUUGGCCUUGUGUUUUAGGUAAUUGUCCUGCUGAAAGGUGAAUUUGCCUCCCAGUGUCUGUUGGAAAGCAGACUGAACCAAGUUUUCCUGGAGGAUUUUGCCUGUGCUUAGCUCUAUUCCUAGUUUAUUCUGUACAGGCUACCUUCUUUCCACUUUGUCAUUUAUGUUAGUAUUGUGGAGUAACUACAAUGUUGUUGAUCCAUCCUCAGUUAUCUCUAUUCACAGCCAUUAAACUCUGUCACUGUUUUAAAAUCACCAUUGGCCUCAUGGUGAAAUCCCUGAGCAGGUUCCUUACUUUCCUUAAAGAAGGGUGACUGUACUUGUAGUGACUGGGUGUAUUGAUACACCAUCCAAAGUGUAAUAACUGCACCAUGAUCAAAGGGAUAUUCAAUGUCUGCUUUUUUACCCAUCUACCAAUAGGUGCCCUUUGCGAACCAUUGGAAAACCUCCCUGGUCUUUGUGGCUGAAUCUGUGCUUCAAAUUAAUUGCUUGACUGAGCAACCUUACAAUUAUCUGUAUGUGUGGGGUACAGAAAUCAAAUCAAAAUGUAUUUGUCAUGUGCGCUGAAUACAACAGGUGUAGUAGACCUUACAGUGAAAUGCUUACUUACAGGCUCUAACCAAUAGUGCAAAAAAGGUAUUAGGUGAACAAUAGGUAGGUUAAGAAAUAAGAGAACAGUAAAAAGACAGACUAUAUACAGUAGUGAGGCUACAUACAGGCACCGGUUAGUCAGGCUAAUUGAUGUAGAAUGUACAUGUAGAUAUGGUUAAAGUAGCUCUCGGAGAUGGGGUAGUCAUUUUAAAAAUCAUGUUGAACACUAUUGCAAGUCCAUGCAACUUAUUAUCUGACUUGUUAAGCACAUUUUUACUCCUGACCCUAUUUAGGUUUGCAAUAACGAAAGGGUUGAAUACUUAUUGGCUCGACAUUUCAGCUUUUCAUUUUCAAAUAAUUUGUAUAAAUGUAUUGAAACAUAAUUCCAAAUUGACGUUAUGGGUAUUGUGUGUAGAUCUGUGACACAAUCUCAAUUUAAUCCAUUUUAAAUUCAGGCUGUAACACAACAAAAUGUGGAGAAAAUUUGAGGGGUAUGAAUACUUUCUGAAGGCACAAUAUGUACUUUACUCGGGAGGUUUCUAAAUGUGCAAUACUACCUGUUAUGUUGGUGAAUGGUUAUGUCUUAUCUAAUGCUCCUUGAUGUCACAAUUUAUCUUGAACAUUUAGGUAUUUUUUUCUGAAAGCAACUGUUUGAUAUAAAAGAUGUUUUUCAGCAGUCUUGGCACAAAGUGUGUGUUAUUUCAGCAUGCCUCUGCUAAUGUAAAUUUGCACUAGUUUUGUGAUUUGCACUUCCAAACAGGGUUUGCUGCAUCGUAUUAUGUUCUAAAAUGGCAACAAAAAAAUAUGGGAAAAACAUGUUACUGAGUGGUAAUGCUUAUGCUUUAUCAUAUUUUCACCAAAUAGUUAAAGUAUGUAUUUUUUGAAUGAAUUCUAUUCUUUUAAAGAAUAAAUAUUUUGUACAGUG